GAGUCCUCCUACGCUGGCGUAAAUCAAUGUUGGAAACACUCGAAGAACAACGAAAAGCCGUCGAAGGUGAAGCAAAAGAAGUAGAAAUUGAGGAAAAUCUGACAGAAGAACAACUAGAAGAUCGUGCAAUGGCAGAAAUCGAUGAGCUCAUCGCAAAAGCUUCAGAAGACGAGAAAGCAGCGUUGAAAAAGAAGAAAAAGAAGAUGUUAAAGGCAAAAGCUCGUGUGCUCAAACGUCGAGAGCUCAAAAUGAUUAUUGAUGGAGAUGAGGGACCACAGGCUGAAGAUCAAGAAGUUUUCCAGUUGAAAAAGAUUCGAAAAGCUAAAGAAUUGGCUGAAAUCACCAAAGAUACACAGGCACCCGAUUUUGAUAUGAUGGAGGAUGGAG
rnacentral:sRNA from 1 species